rnacentral:misc_RNA from 1 species
GAAAUGCGAUAAGUAAUGUGAAUUGCAGAAUUCAGUGAAUCAUCGAAUCUUUGAACGCACAUUGCGCCCGCCAGUAUUCUGGCGGGCAUGCCUGUUCGAGCGUCAUUACAACCCUCAGGCCCCCGGGCCUGGCGUUGGGGAUCGGCGGAAGCCCCCUGCGGGCACAACGCCGUCCCCCAAAUACAGUGGCGGUCCCGCCGCAGCUUCCAUUGCGUAGUAGCUAACACCUCGCACCUGGAGAGCGGCGCGGCCACGCCGUAAAACACCCAACUUCUGAAUGUUGACCUCGAAUCAGGUAGGAAUACCCGCUGAACUUAAGC